rnacentral:misc_RNA from 1 species
UCUCCGUUGGUGAACCAGCGGGGGGAUCAUUACAGGACUCGCAAGACUCCUACAACCCUGUGAACUUAACUAUAAGCACGUUGCUUCGGCGGGUGUCUCGGAGGGGGUUCUCCCUCCCCGAGACGCUAAACCCGCCGGCAGCCUACUAUACUCUGUCUCUUUGCGUUGGCAUCUCGAGUACAAUCAAACAAGUUAAAACUUUCAACAACGGAUCUCUUGGUUCUG